UCGAACGAACUCUGGUAUUGAUUGGUGCUUGCAUCAUGAUUUACAUUUGAGUGAGUGGCGAACUGGUGAGUAACACGUGGGAAACCUGCCCAGAAGCGGGGGAUAACACCUGGAAACAGAUGCUAAUACCGCAUAACAACUUGGACCGCAUGGUCCGAGUUUGAAAGAUGGCUUCGGCUAUCACUUUUGGAUGGUCCCGCGGCGUAUUAGCUAGAUGGUGGGGUAACGGCUCACCAUGGCAAUGAUACGUAGCCGACCUGAGAGGGUAAUCGGCCACAUUGGGACUGAGACACGGCCCAAACUCCUACGGGAGGCAGCAGUAGGGAAUCUUCCACAAUGGACGAAAGUCUGAUGGAGCAACGCCGCGUGAGUGAAGAAGGGUUUCGGCUCGUAAAACUCUGUUGUUAAAGAAGAACAUAUCUGAGAGUAACUGUUCAGGUAUUGACGGUAUUUAACCAGAAAGCCACGGCUAACUACGUGCCAGCAGCCGCGGUAAUACGUAGGUGGCAAGCGUUGUCCGGAUUUAUUGGGCGUAAAGCGAGCGCAGGCGGUUUUUUAAGUCUGAUGUGAAAGCCUUCGGCUCAACCGAAGAAGUGCAUCGGAAACUGGGAAACUUGAGUGC
rnacentral:rRNA from 2 species